GGGGACGGGACACCUGCGCGGCCACCUCGCCGAGCCUUGCGCCUUGGGGGCAGCCGCUCGCCUCCUGGACGCUCUGAGCCUCAUCUUAGGUUGGGAAUCUUGAACGCACCCCAACCGACCACAAAGAGAAAACAGCCCCCACCCACUCCUGUCUGGCACUUUUUCCUCUUUGUCUAAUUAUGAUGACUUCCAGAAUUCUCUUUUUUAGGAAAAGUCUACCCUCUCCCAGACAAACCCUUCCCUUCGCCUAUCCUCAGGGAUCUGCCUGGAAAAUAAUGAGAAGUCAGUACUCAGACAAUUCCGUUUGCCGCCUCUCGAAAAUAUUCCAGUUUAGAGGGAAUAAAGAAUAAAAGUCCUGUGCUAGGUGAUAAAGUCAGUAUGGCUUGAAGGAUUCUGCCCACUGCCUGUCUACACAACACUCCUGUCCCAGCUGUCUGAAGUAUCUCUUUUCCAAUCUGCUCCUGAACAAAUUGGUUAAACCCAUGAGUGCAGAGCCCCAGAUGCGAAAGGCCACCUGUACUGCAUGUGACUGAAUAACAGAAGACAAUUCUCCAGUUUUCCAGUUCUCCCUUUGCUUCAUUGCUCAGAAACAUGAAAGCCAAAUUUGCUGCUCUUCCCUGGAACCUAUGCAAGGGGCUCACUAUGUAUAGCCCAGGCUGACCUUGAAUUC